rnacentral:lncRNA from 1 species
AAAACUUCAAAAAAAACCCCGUGGUUUUGUACUUUCUCACUUUAGUACUCUGUGGUUUAAAGUGCAUCAAUUUGGUGCCUUGUGGUUUCAUUUUUAUCUUUUCGGUAGUUUUUUGUUAAUAUUUCGUUAAAUUAUAUACAAAAAACUUCAGAUACCUGUCGAUUUCAGAUUGAGUUGCUCAGUUUAAUGACAUGGCGGUCGAUUUAAGUUUUGAUGCUCAGUUUAGUGACAUGGCGGUCGGUCUGAAAUUGAGUUGCUCAGUUUAAUGACAUGGCGGUCAGUUUAAAAUUGAGUUGCUCAAUUUAAUAACAUGGCGGUCGAUUUGAGUUUAGAUGCUCAGUUUAAUGACAUAGCGGUCAGGUAUUCAGUUUAAUGACUUAUCAGUCAUUUUGUUCAGUUUAACGACUUGACGGUCAAAUCUGAACUUCAUUUGCUCAGUUUAGCGACUUGGUGGUCGGGUUCAGAUUAAGUUGCUCAGUUUAAUGACAUGGCAGUCGAUUUGAGUUUUGAUGCUCAGUUUAAUGACAUGGCGGUCGAGUUCAGAUUGAGUUGCUCAGUUUAAUGACAUGGCGGUCGAGUUCAGAUUGAGUUGCUCAGUUUAAUGACAUGGCGGUCGAGUUCAGAUUGAGUUGCUCAGUUUAAUGACAUGGCGGUCGAGUUCAGAUUGAAUUGCUCAGUUUAAUGACAUGGCGGUCGAUUUGAGUUUUGAUGCUCAGUUUAGUGACAUGGCGGUCAAUUUAAAAUUGAGUUGCUCAGUUUAAUGACAUGGCGGUCGAUUUGAGUUUCGGUGCUCAGUUUAAUGACAUGGCGGUCGGUUUGAGUUUUGGUACUCAGUUUACCGACAUAUUGGUCGGAUUGAGUAGUGAUGCUCAGUUUAAUGACAUGGCGGUCAGUUUGAAUUUUGAUACUCAGUUUAAUGGCAUGGCGGUCGAUUUGAGGUUUGGUGCUCAGUUUAAUGACAUGGCGGUCGGUUGAGUUUUGGUGCUCAGUUUAAUGAUAUGGUGAUCGGUUUGAGUUUUGGUGCUCAGUUUAAUGACAUGGCAGUCGGUUUGAAUUUUGAUGCUCAGUUUAAUGACAUGGCAGUCGAUUUGAGAUUUGGUGCUCAGUUUAAUGACAUGGCGGUCGUUUGAGUUUUGGUGCUCAGUUUAAUGACAUGGCGGUCGGUUGAGUUUUGGUUUAACGACUUUGCAGUCGUUUGGAUUGAGUUUAGUUUAACGACUUUUCGGUCGUUUGAAUUUGGGUUUAGUUUAGCAACAUUUCGGUCGUUUGAAUUUGGGUUUAGUUUAGCGACAUUUCGGUCGUUUGAAUUUUGGGUUUUGUUUAACGACUUUUCGGUCGUUUGAUUUGAUUAGUUUAACGACUUUGCGGUCGUUUGAUUUGAUUGUUUAGUUUAAAGACUUUGCGGUCGUAGGUUUUAUUUGUGGACUUUGGGUUUUGGCAUUUUAUCUGUGGACUUUGGGGUUUUGGAAUUUUAUUUGUGGACUUUGGAUUUUGGGAUUUAUUUGUAGACUUUGGAUUUUGGGAUUUAUUUGUGGACUUUGGUUUUGGGUUGGCUUAAACCUCUUGUAUUUGAUUUGGGAUGAACCGUUAUGCUUUGGUUCGAGACCCAUCAAGACUUGGUUUGAGUUGAGCGACCUUAAGUUUGUUUGGUCGCUUUGGAUUUGGUUUGGGCUGAACCGUUAUGCUUUGGUUCGGGACCCAUCCAGACUUGGUUUGGGUUAAACCGUUAUGCUUUGGUUCUGGACCCAUCAAGACUUGGUUUGAGUUGGAUUC